GCCGCCGUAGCAUAAAGGUUAAUGCGCCGUCUUCCUAAGCUGUCCAAGGCGGAGGUUGUGGGUUCGAUCCCCACCGGUGGUU